GCGCUCGCUUCGGCAGCACAUAUACUAAAAUUGGAAUGAUGCAGAGAAGCAUAGCCCCUGCGCAAGGAUGACACGCAAAUUUGUGAAGCGUUCCAUAUUUUA